UAAUAACCCUAUAAAUUUUUUUUUUAGGAAACUAAUCAAAUUUUCUUUUAAAGACGAUGAACGAUUCACUGCUUUCUGAACAAUUCAUCGCCUUUCUAAUUUUCCACAAAAACGGUGAAUUAUUCAUCGUCUUUUACGUAUUUACUGUUUCUUUCUAUAUCUCAUAUAUAAUUCUAUCUACCACAUAAAAAUAUCAACUAAUCACAUAUAUAAUCUUAAGAACCUGAAGAUCCUAAUAAUUUAUUCGUACAAUUUUAUAUAAUUUUAACAACCUAAAACCCUAAUAAUCUAUUCAUACAAUCCUAAUUAUUAAAUAAAAAUUCUAAUAAUUCACGUAUAAUCCUAAUAACUUCACUUUUUUCUAUUUCCCAUAUAAUCCAUGUACAAUCUUAAUAAAUACGGUGAACGAUUCACCGUCUUUAAAAAACAUGAGAGUAUGCGAUGAACAAUUUACCUCUUUUAAAAAGUAUGAAAAAUACAGUGAAUGAUUCACCGCGUUUCGAAAAAAAAUCCUACGUGGUAAAUAGAGGAUUAAUUUGCCAAAUAUAAAUUUGACCGAAUUAUCUUUUAAAUUAUAAAAUUUUAAAGAGUGAUUUUAUAAAAAAGUCCGAU
rnacentral:lncRNA from 1 species